CCCUUAGAUGUUCUGGGCCGCACGCGUGCUACACUGAGUGGAUCAGCGGGUCAGGUUGCGCGAAAGUGUUUCCUAAUCUUGAAAUCCGCUCGUGAUGGGGAUUGACGGUUGCAAUUUUCCGUCAUGAACGAGGAAUACCUUGUAAGCGCGGGUCAUCAUCCCGCGCUGAAUACGUCCCUGCCCUUUGUACACACCGCCCGUCGCUCCUACCGAUUGAGUGGUCCGGUGAGGCUUUGGGAUCUGGGCGGAAAGAGCGUUUCGCUGUUUCUGCUCGGAAAACUCAGUCGAACCUUAUCAUUUAGAGGAAGGAGAAGUCGUAACA
rnacentral:rRNA from 1 species